GUGAGGAAUAUUGCGCAAUGGAGGCAACUCUGAACCAGCCAUGCCGCGUGCAGGAAGACGGCCCUCUGGGUUGUAAACUGCUUUUACUCGGGAAUAAACCUAUCUACGUGUAGAUAGCUGAAUGUACCGAAGGAAUAAGGAUCGGCUAACUCCGUGCCAGCAGCCGCGGUAAUACGGAGGAUCCAAGCGUUAUCCGGAUUUAUUGGGUUUAAAGGGUGCGUAGGCGGCCUGUUAAGUCAGGGGUGAAAGACGGUAGCUCAACUAUCGCAGUGCCCUUGAUACUGAUGGGCUUGAAUGGACUAGAGGUAGGCGGAAUGAGACAAGUAGCGGUGAAAUGCAUAGAUAUGUCUCAGAACACCGAUUGCGAAGGCAGCUUACUAUGGUCUUAUUGACGCUGAGGCACGAAAGCGUGGGGAUCGAACAGGAUUAGAAACCCGGGUAGUCC
rnacentral:rRNA from 1 species